CUUGGUCAUUUAGAGGAAGUAAAAGUCGUAACAAGGUUUCCGUAGGUGAACCUGCGGAAGGAUCAUUCAUAAUCAAGUGUUUUUAUGGCACUUUCAAAAAUCCAUAUCCACCUUGUGUGCAAUGUCAUCUCACUGGAGGUCACGGCUGUAACAAUCCGUUGGUCACCUUUGGGAUUUAUAUCUACUCAGAACUUUAGUGAUUUUGUCUGAAACAUAUUAUGAAUAACUUAAUUCAAAAUACAACUUUCAACAACGGAUCUCUUGGCUCUCGCAUCGAUGAAGAACGCAGCGAAAUGCGAUACGUAAUGUGAAUUGCAGAAUUCAGUGAAUCAUCGAAUCUUUGAACGCAUAUUGCGCUCUCUGGUAUUCCGGAGAGCAUGCUUGUUUGAGUAUCAGUAAACACCUCAACUCCCCUUUCUUUUUUGAAAUGGGAGCUGGACUUGAGUGAUCCCAACGCUUUUCUCACCGAAAAGCGGCGGGUUACUUGAAAUGCAGGUGCAGCUGGACUUUUCUCUGAGCUAUAAGCAUAUCUAUUUAGUCUGCCUAAAAAACAGAUUAUUACCUUUGCUGCAGCUAACAUAAAGGAGAUUAGUUCUUGUGCUGACUGAUGCAGGAUUCACAGAGACAGCUUCGGCUGGCCUUUGUAAACUCGAUCUCAAAUCAAGUAAGACUACCCGCUGAACUUAAGCAUAUCAAUAAGCGGAGGA
rnacentral:rRNA from 1 species